AGACAAUGCCAUGGCUUCAUUUUCUUGUUUAAAGGACUUGAAACAGUCUCUUUUGAGCCCUCAAAACUUAUUAUCGUGUCAAACUUGACAAAUUUGUUUUACAGGCUACUUAUGCCAAAGCUCCAGUACCUGCUCCAGUGAAGACACCCAUUCCUGCACCACCGGUCAAGCCUCCUACUGUCACUCCAAAUCCCCCUGCUCCUGUGGUGAAGCCCCCCACUGUUGUGCCCAAGCCCCCUGCUCCACCGGUCAGCCCUCCUACUGUUGCUCCGAAGCCACCUGCUCCUGUGGUGCCCAAGCCCCCUACCCCACCUGCCAACCCUCCUACUGUUGCUCCCAAGCCACCUGCUCCCCCAGUGAAGCCUCCUACCGUUGUGCCCAAGCCCCCUUCUCCACCUGUCAACCCUCCUACCCCCAAGCCACCUGCUUCCCCAGUGAAGCCUCCCACUGUUGCACCAAAGCCUCCUGUGCCACCAGUCACGCCUCCUACUACAGCACCAAUGCCCCCAGUGAGGGCAAGAUUGGGUACUAUUUCUUCCCUAUGAUAGGAUAAAAUCUGCUGAGCCUUUUUCAUCUUUUUCAUCUUUCUUGGUUAAUAUUCUGAGAAUGUGUUGUGAUUGUCGUCUGC
rnacentral:lncRNA from 1 species